AGUCGAACGGCCGCGCGUGAGCAUCCUGGCGGCGAGUGGCGAACGGGUGAGUAAUACAUCGGAACGUGUCCUGUAGUGGGGGAUAGCCCGGCGAAAGCCGGAUUAAUACCGCAUACGAUCUACGGAUGAAAGCGGGGGAUCGCAAGACCUCGCGCUAUAGGGGCGGCCGAUGGCGGAUUAGCUAGUUGGUGGGGUAAAGGCCCACCAAGGCGACGAUCCGUAGCUGGUCUGAGAGGACGACCAGCCACACUGGGACUGAGACACGGCCCAUACUCCUACGGGAGGCAGCAGUGGGGAAUUUUGGACAAUGGGCGCAAGCCUGAUCCAGCAAUGCCGCGUGUGUGAAGAAGGCCUUCGGGUUGUAAAGCACUUUUGUCCGGAAAGAAAUCCUCUGGGUUAAUACCCCGGGGGGAUGACGGUACCGGAAGAAUAAGCACCGGCUAACUACGUGCCAGCAGCCGCGGUAAUACGUAGGGUGCGAGCGUUAAUCGGAAUUACUGGGCGUAAAGCGUGCGCAGGCGGUGAUGUAAGACCGAUGUGAAAUCCCCGGGCUUAACCUGGGAACUGCAUUGGUGACUGCAUCGCUGGAGUAUGGCAGAGGGGGGUAGAAUUCACGUGUAGCAGUGAAAUGCGUAGAGAUGUGGAGGAAUACCGAUGGCGAAGGCAGCCCCCUGGGCCAAUACUGACGCUCAUGCACGAAAGCGUGGGGAGCAAACAGGAU
rnacentral:rRNA from 1 species